AAGAUUUUAAGUUAAACUAAAUAAACUAUAAGCCUUCAAAGCUUAAAAUAAAUAACUAUUUUAAAUCUUA
rnacentral:tRNA from 1 species